UCAGGUGGUGGAACGAAGCGAACUUGCCUCUGGCUGUACUCUGGCUCCCUCGCAGGGAGAAGGGACAAGGGCAGGACAGUCCGCCGGUGGCGGGGCGCCGGUGUCAGGCUGAACCAAGUUAUCAAACCACACGGGCCCAUCGGCAGCCUCCGCUUUUCCCUUUGGGGCGGAGAGCCCACUCGCUCCCCGUUGCCGGUGCACGCGAGAGGUGUGGCCUCGGCAGGAGCAGGGCCGGGGGCUUCAGCAGCGCGGGCCGGAGGGUGGGGUGGGCUUCUCACCGCCGUGACCUCUCGCCCCUCAGGAUGGUGAGUGCGCGCAGCGUGGCGGCGCAGAAGGUGUUCUCCGCCAGGCACCCACGUUCGGCCUCCCAGCUUGCCUGGCACUUGGGAGAAGCACGCUGAAGAGGAGGGCACAAUUGACCCAGUGUGUCCCUUGGUCCCUGUGUGAUGGCUCAGUAGGAACCCAGGAACUGAGCUGUGUGUCACUGGCAUCCCACUGCACUCAGUAGCUACCAAUGUUUUAGAAAAGCAUAAUACACCCAUAAUGCUGUGUCUGUGAUGGUAGAAGAGAAUAAAGGGCUGGAGCAGUAUCGAGAACGGCAUCCCCUCCACAGGAUCUCACCUGUGGGGAUGGACAGGUGUGGAGGUAACCGCACCAUGGUGAAGAGUCCACAGCAGAAAAAGAGUCGCAGUGUGACUGUGUGACUGAUAUUCUCACACGUAGGGGUGUGUGUUCCCUCUCUUUGAAUCUGAGUGGAAGCCUGUGACUGCCGACCAAUGGAGCAGCAAUGGAAGUGAUGCCAUGUGACUUCUUAGCUCAGUCAUACAAAGGAUCUCCCCACCCUCCAUGCUUGUCCUUGGAACCCACCACCGUAUUUUGAUGAAGACCAAGCUAUAUGGAGAGGCCACAUGUGGGUGCUCUGGCCAACAGUCCCAGCAAGGCCCUCAGCCAAUAAGGCAGCAUCAACCACCAGACAUGUGAAUGAAUGGACUUCAGAUGGUCCCAAAUCCUGGCCUUUGAGGCUUUGAACUGAGGAUUAGGUAUGAUGGAGCAAAGGCAAGCUGUUCCCAUUGAUUCUGCCUGAAUUCCUGACUCACAGAAAACACAAGUGAUUUUGAUGUUCAUCUAACAGAGAAAGCAUGUGGGACAAAGAGUGGACAACAAGAUAACAAUGUUAGAAAUCUUCUAAUGUUGUGACCUUCAUCAGAUGGAGGAAUGGAUAUUCAGCUUGAAGACAAUUCAGUCUCUUGGCCUUCUUUUUUUCCCUGAUAAAGCAUCCAAAUCCUCUAACCCUUCCUCAAAGUACUUGUGUUUUUCAUUCUUUAGUUCAUUGUUUAUUUUUAUUCUUUUUAUCUUUUAAACCUUCAUUAAACCAACACUUGCUGAAUACAUAUUAUAUGCUACAAAGAAGAAAAUAUUCAACAAGGAUGUAACCACUUUUCUGUUCCAGCAUGUCUGUGCCUGUCUUUUACCUCAGGAAGUUUUUAGGGGGAAAAAGUCCUACUAUUAUUUGCUGAGAGACCUAGGGAAACCUUUAGAAAACACACCCUAAUUCUAAGUCUGUUUCAUAAUACAGAUAGAGAGAAUAUAGAAAAGAAAAAACAUUCCUUUUUCAAAUGAGAGGAAAUGAACUGCAGGUUUAUACCAUGCUGAAGUUAAUAAGGGACAUAAACGCCUUGACCAGAACAGCUUCUUGGGAAAUGGGUGCCAGAAGCAAAGAUUUUGCUUACAUCAUUCUGUUUGGGAAAGGGGACUGGUGCUUCAUUUUUUUGGAAGCCGUUAAAAAAAGAAGUCUUGUUAUGAGCACUAUUUGCAGAAUCGUUGAGCAAAUAAACGAAUGGAUGGUGGUACAUGGCUGAAUACACUUGGAUUUGGGAAGACAAGAUGGUCAAGUGGGAAAAACCAGACCUGACUCCAAGUCAGAAUAAACUUGAGCCCGAAUUUCAGCAUUUACAUGUUCUGUGACCUUAAGCCUUUCUCAGUCCUGGUUUUCAUGUCUAUAAAGUGGAGAUAACAGUCCCUGCACCAUAAAGAGUUUGUAAGUAGUAAAUGAGCACAUAUAUGUUAAGGUAGUAUCCCAGCACCUAGGCGUUCAAUCAGUGGUUGUUUUUUUUCUUUCUCCUCUGCUGCAGAGGUUGUGGCCCUAGCCAAAGGGAUGCUGUCUUGACUGUGUCCUGCCUCUGUGUCCAGGGUCAGGUCAGAGAGGCUGUAUUGGAGCAGUUUGCAUAGAUGCAAAAGUUUGCAUAGAAGCAAAGGGGAAACAAAGCAA